rnacentral:rRNA from 1 species
CAGUCGCCGCGGGAACACGUAGGGUGCAAGCGUUAAUCGGAAUUACUGGGCGUAAAGCGCGCGUAGGUGGUUUGUUAAGUUGGAUGUGAAAUCCCCGGGCUCAACCUGGGAACUGCAUCCAAAACUGGCAGGCUAGAGUAGGGCAGAGGGUGGUGGAAUUUCCUGUGUAGCGGUGAAAUGCGUAGAUAUAGGAAGGAACACCAGUGGCGAAGGCGACCACCUGGGCUCAUACUGACACUGAGGUGCGAAAGCGUGGGGAGCAAACAGGAUUAGAGACCCCAGUAGUCCCUGUCUCUUAUAU